UGGGGAAUCUUGCACAAUGGGCGAAAGCCUGAUGCAGCGACGCCGCGUGCGGGAUGAAGGCCUUCGGGUUGUAAACCGCUUUCAGCAGGGACGAGGCCGCAAGGUGACGGUACCUGCAGAAGAAGCCCCGGCUAACUACGUGCCAGCAGCCGCGGUAAUACGUAGGGGGCAAGCGUUAUCCGGAUUCAUUGGGCGUAAAGCGCGCGUAGGCGGUCUGUUAGGUCAGGAGUCAAAUCUGGGGGCUCAACCCCUAUCCGCUCCUGAUACCGGCAGGCUUGAGUCGGGUAUGGGAAGGUGGAAUUCCAAGUGUAGCGAUGAAAUGCGCAGAUAUUUGGAAGAACACCAGUGGCGAAGGCGGCCUUCUGGGCCAUGACUGACGCUGAGGCGCGAAAGCUAGGGGAGCGAACAGG
rnacentral:rRNA from 1 species